UACGGAGGGAGCUAGCGUUGUUCGGAAUUACUGGGCGUAAAGCGCACGUAGGCGGCUUUGUAAGUUAGAGGUGAAAGCCCGGGGCUCAACUCCGGAACUGCCUUUAAGACUGCAUCGCUUGAAUCCAGGAGAGGUGAGUGGAAUUCCUAGUGUAGAGGUGAAAUUCGUAGAUAUUAGGAAGAACACCAGUGGCGAAGGCGGCUCACUGGCCCGGUACUGACGCUGAGGCGCGAAAGCGUGGGGAGCAAACAGG
rnacentral:rRNA from 1 species